ACGCUGGCGGCAGGCCUAACACAUGCAAGUCGAGCGGUAGAGAGAAGCUUGCUUCUCUUGAGAGCGGCGGACGGGUGAGUAAUGCCUAGGAAUCUGCCUGGUAGUGGGGGAUAACGUUCGGAAACGGACGCUAAUACCGCAUACGUCCUACGGGAGAAAGCAGGGGACCUUCGGGCCUUGCGCUAUCAGAUGAGCCUAGGUCGGAUUAGCUAGUUGGUGGGGUAAUGGCUCACCAAGGCGACGAUCCGUAACUGGUCUGAGAGGAUGAUCAGUCACACUGGAACUGAGACACGGUCCAGACUCCUACGGGAGGCAGCAGUGGGGAAUAUUGGACAAUGGGCGAAAGCCUGAUCCAGCCAUGCCGCGUGUGUGAAGAAGGUCUUCGGAUUGUAAAGCACUUUAAGUUGGGAGGAAGGGUUGUAGAUUAAUACUCUGCAAUUUUGACGUUACCGACAGAAUAAGCACCGGCUAACUCUGUGCCAGCAGCCGCGGUAAUACAGAGGGUGCAAGCGUUAAUCGGAAUUACUGGGCGUAAAGCGCGCGUAGGUGGUUAGUUAAGUUGGAUGUGAAAUCCCCGGGCUCAACCUGGGAACUGCAUUCAAAACUGACUGACUAGAGUAUGGUAGAGGGUGGUGGAAUUUCCUGUGUAGCGGUGAAAUGCGUAGAUAUAGGAAGGAACACCAGUGGCGAAGGCGACCACCUGGACUGAUACUGACACUGAGGUGCGAAAGCGUGGGGAGCAAACAGGAUUAGAUACCCUG
rnacentral:rRNA from 1 species